rnacentral:misc_RNA from 1 species
GAUGAAGAACGCAGCGAAAUGCGAUAAUUAACGUGAAUUGCAGAAUUUAGUGAAUCAUCGAAUCUUUGAACGCACAUUGCGCCCCUUGGUAUUCCGGGGGGCAUGCCUGUUCGAGCGUCAUUUCAACCCUCAAGCUCUGCUUGGUCUUGGGCCGCGCCGGCGACGGCGGGCCUCAAAAACAGUGGCGGCGCCAUCUGGUUCCUCAGCGUAGUAAUUCUUCUCGCUGUUGGGCCCGGGUGGCCGCUGGCCAGCAACCCCAAAUUUUCUAUGGUUGACCUCGGAUCAGGUAGGGAUACCCGCUGAACUUAAGCAUAUCAAUAAGCGGAGGA